GGCAAUUUGACUGGACCCUUCUACCCUUGAUGUUGCACAUCUGUGACUCUAUAAUGACCUCUGUCAGAAGCCAGGAGUGGCAGGAUAAGGACCAGGACAAAAAGAUAGUCAACUCCAACAAGAGGUCAGGACACUGGACCUGCUGGCCAAACUGAAAUGCUUCCUGCAUACCAAAGGCUCAAGUGAAACAGAAAAGCGCAAAGCUCCCAGAUCUACUUAAAUGCCCCUGCAGACUGAAAAUCUCUUUUCUUUUAAGAUGUAAAAGAUGUGCUCCCCGAGACAGCCUCAUUCGUCUUCAAUCACUUGUCUUCAAUCAUUUUUCCACCGUUUCCAGCCACAAGCAGCAUCACAGGCAGUGAAUUAGGACUCUAUGGAUACAUUUUCCUCUAGAACCGCGUGUCAAACCCAAAGCAGGUCCGGGCUCUGCUGAAAUCAGAUUAACCAAGAAAAAGCCCUGGGUGGCUGAGCACUGAGGUCUCUCCCCAGCACCACCUGGGCUGGCUCUUCUCUGAAAUACAGUAAAACGAAGGGGGAGAACUCAUUGUUUUCUAUCAAGGGCAUGACCCACAGGAUGGAAAAAUAAAUCAGUGGAGAAAGAUGAAAGUAAAAUUCAGGGAGCCUUGGGGAGAGAGAAAGAGAAAAGGUUACAGUCAUUUGCUUUCACAAAUCAAGAAUGGAGAGCAUGUAACUCUCUCUGACAAACACAACUCAUUAUAAAAACACCUCAGUUACAUACUGUGGCCAGUUACUGAGAGAGGCUGAAGGGGAAGAGGAUGAAGAGGGUUCAAGGAAUGACAGAGGGGAAGAGAAGCAGAGUCAGAAACAGGUGACUCGAAAUAAGAAAACAAAAAAAUCAAAGUCAGAGAGAGGGAAAAAAAAGAUCAGGGAGAGACAGACACAGAGAGAGAACGUGAGCACCGGAGCCACAUUCAAAGAAACAAAAAUACAGACAAAAAAAGAGAGGCAUGCGUGCACAGUGAUGAGAGACAAACAUGCAGACGCCCAAGUGAGAGCACGGAGCACAUGAGGGGUGUGAGAAGGAGGCCAAGAUCGAGCUCUUCCAGGAAAAUAACUAUUUAAAAUAAACAAUGAGGCCCUCAGGGGUGGUUGUUUUUUUCCUAAAGAGAUAAAAAUAUUACCAGCAUUACUUCUUUUUUCAGAAUUACUUUGGAAUGUGUUUUCAUGCCUAUCUAAACUUUGAGAGGCACAGACAUUCUUCAAAAUCCAUUUUCCUCACUUGCCAAGGCAGAAGCCCCCCAUUCAUGGUUCUGGGAAGGAAGACGUUUAUGCCUCAAGUGCUGGCCUUGUAUAACACCCUUGGAAACUCGCAAGUAACUUGUGUCUUCAUGGCUGCAGACCUCGGGGUCUGGGCUCUCGGGUACAGCCUGAUGGCCACAUCCAGCUCCACCCCGUCCCAUCCUUGGGGGAAAGCCUCAUUUGUUCAGAGAUCAGCAAUUUGGAAUCGAGAGUGGAUCCCCCAGGGCCAGAGCUGACCACUGCACUCUGCUUGAUGACACAGCAUUCAGGGGAGUCGCGAGAGUAAGGUGGCAGCCAACGUGGUGAAUGAAUGAAAAGAACAAGCGCCAGGCACACUGGCCACAUCAGACCCAGCAGUAGCUUCCCAAACCUGCCAAAUACUCUCACUUUCUGCUGCCAAGAAUACCGCCUCUUUCCUCCCCUGCUCCUGUCUGGUAAAACCCUUCCCGUCCAUUGUCCAUCAGUUGAUUCACAUGGAUUAAUGGAAUGCCUCCUCUCCUAUAGGGUUUAUACAGUCGAAGACAAUGGUUAAGUACACAGAUGGUAGAGCCAGAGGGCCAGGAUUUGAAUCCUGGUUCUGUUAUUUCUAGUCGGACCACCUGGCAAUUUAUUUGGGACUUCUGCACUUCAGUCUUCUGCAAAGCAUGCCAUGACAUCUGCAAUGUUCCUGCCUCAUAGGAUCUUUGUAGAGAUUACGAAAUAAAGCCAAUGAAUUUUUAAUCGAAUUGAGCUUGAGUAUGUGACCAGUGAAUCAGAAAGGCUUCUGAGUCUUACAGUGGUGGUGGUUGAGGAGAGAGAAAUUCAUUCCCGUCUGCCCAAAGGAGGUAGUGCUGCAGGGAGUGAGGCCCUGGGGCUUACAUCAGGUCUGGCACAAGAGCACAGAAGAUUAAUCCUGCAUCUUUCCAUGGCAGGAUCUCCAAGCUUUCUGGGAAAUUGUAUCUCUAGGGGACAGAAGCUGGUAAAGGUGCUGCUGGUGGAUAAAAUCUUCAGCUGCAUGAGGAUGGUCUAGCUCAGGGAGCAGGAAGCUUUCCUGUGAAGGGCCAGAUAGUUUCCUAUGAUCUCUGUCACCUGCUCCUGUCUUCCUCCUUCCCUUCCUCUUUUCCUCUUUCCUUUUGUUCUUUUCCU